rnacentral:rRNA from 1 species
UGAGAAAUUGGGGACAAUACCGGAUAGGGCAUCGAUUGCUGGAAUGCACGAUGUCCAAAAGCUGAGGCGCCCAAGGAUAGGUCUGCGGCCGAUUAGGUUGUUGUUGAUGUAAUGGAUCAACAAGCCCGCAAUCGGUACGGGUUGUGAGAGCAAGAGCCCGGAGAUGGGUUCUGAGAAAAGAACCCAGGUCCUACGGGACGCAUCAGGCGCGAAAACUUUACAAUGUGCGAAAGCACGAUAAGGGAACUCUGAGUGCCUCCUAUGGAGGCUGUUCAGGUGUCUAAAAAGCACUUGAAGUAAGGGCUGGGUAAGACCGGUGCCAGCCGCCGCGGUAACACCGGCAGCCCAAGUGGUAGCCACGCUUAUUGGGUCUAAAGCGUCCGUAGCCGGCCAGGUAAGUUCUUUGGGAAAUUUAACCGCUCAACGGUUAAGCUUUCAGGGAAUACUGCUUGGCUUGGGACCGGGAGAGGUCAGAGGUACUUCAAGGGUAGGGGUGAAAUCCGUUAAUCCUUGAGGGACCAUCAGUAGCGAAGGCGUCUGACCAGACCGGGUCCGACGGUGAGGGACAAAGGCUAGGGUCGCGAACCGGAUUAGAUACCCGGGUAGUCCUAGCUGUAAACGAUGCGGGCCAGGUGUUGGCAUUACUGCGAGUGAUGUCAGUGCCGAAGGGAAGCCGUUAAGCCCGCCAUCUGGGGAGUACGGUCGCAAGGCUGAAACUUA